UCACAUCCAAUAAAGUGAUUGUUGAAAGUUUUCCAGCAAUCUGCUCAACAAUUGAAUCGCUUAUUUCGCUUCUUGGCACUUGCAAAUUCUCAAGGGAUCCAGCAUGCUCAACGAGGAAUGAGAAAAUAGAAUUAUUGGAAAUGCCAGUGACAGAGAGCUUGCGGAGGGAUCCACAGCUUCGAGUGAUCAACAUUCGAAGCAUGCGAUCAAGGUGGUGAGGCUGGCGACUUUUACUCCAUUCCUCGAUGUCUAUCUCUUGCCAACAAUAUGGCCCUGAAACUGCUCUGCCCCAUGAUUUGCAAACCCUUGGGAUCACUGUUAGUAUCUCUUGUAGAGAAAGAUUUCUAAAGAUUAGAGCAAGGGCAUCUGGUAUCAGCUCAUCCCAACAGCGAUAAUCACUUGCCUUGUCCAUAUAUUUUGCCUUGAAGAAAAAGAAGCAAUUUUCCCCCCCUUGGAAGACUCUGGCUUUCUUAGUUUCUCUGUGAUUUGGGUUCUGCAACAGGG
rnacentral:misc_RNA from 1 species